UCCCUCGUAGCCCAAUUGGUAGAGGCCGCAGGCUCAGACCCUGCGUCGUGCGAGUUCGAAUCUCGCCGAGGGAAC
rnacentral:tRNA from 1 species